AACGAACGCUGGCGGCAGGCCUAACACAUGCAAGUCGAACGCUCCGCAAGGGGAGUGGCAGACGGGUGAGUAACACGUGGGAAUCUUCCUGUUGGUGCGGAAUAGCUCAGGGAAACUUGGGGUAAUACCGCAUAAGCCCGAGAGGGGAAAGAUUUAUCGCCGACAGAUGAGCCCGCGUCUGAUUAGCUAGUUGGUGAGGUAACGGCUCACCAAGGCGACGAUCAGUAGCUGGUCUGAGAGGAUGACCAGCCACACUGGGACUGAGACACGGCCCAGACGCCUACGGGAGGCAGCAGUGGGGAAUAUUGGACAAUGGGCGCAAGCCUGAUCCAGCCAUGCCGCGUGAGUGACGAAGGUCUUCGGAUUGUAAAGCUCUUUUGCCAGGGACGAUAAUGACGGUACCUGGAGAAUAAGCCCCGGCUAACUUCGUGCCAGCAGCCGCCGUAAGAC
rnacentral:rRNA from 1 species